rnacentral:rRNA from 1 species
UACGUAGGGCGCAAGCGUUGUCCGGAAUUAUUGGGCGUAAAGAGCUCGUAGGCGGUCUGUCGCGUCGGAUGUGAAAGCCCGGGGCUUAACCCCGGGUCUGCAUUCGAUACGGGCAGACUAGAGUGUGGUAGGGGAGAUCGGAAUUCCUGGUGUAGCGGUGAAAUGCGCAGAUAUCAGGAGGAACACCGGUGGCGAAGGCGGUUCUCUGGGAAUAUCCUGACGCUGAGGAGCGAAAGUGUGGGGAGCAAACAGG